AACAUCGCGCACCUGCGGGAACCUGCGGAGGGAUCAUUACAGAGUUGCAAAACUCCCUAAACCAUUGUGAGCGUUACCUAAACCGUUGCUUCGGCGGGCGGCCCGGGUCCUUCCCGGCGCCCCUCGGCCCUCGCGGGCGCCCGCCGGAGGUAAACCAAACUAUUGCAUUGUAUGGCCUCUCUGAGUCUUCUGUACUGAAUAAGUCAAAACUUUCAACAAUGGAUCUCAGAUCGGAAGAGC
rnacentral:misc_RNA from 1 species